rnacentral:lncRNA from 12 species
AUGACUUAACCCUCUGUCUGCAGAUUAAUUUUCAAUUAUAGAACAAGUGUGUGAUUUAUUCUACAUGAUUGGGUUGGGAAAAAAAGGGAAAAAAAAGACAUGAUGCUAGCAAAGCAGAGAACAAACAAUGAAAGACAGAUAGUAUACCCAAGAGCAUUGUGACUUGUGCCUUUGUAAUAUGCAAAUGAGGGGGCAUUAUUACUCUGUGCAAAUGUUCACAUGCUGAAUGUGGAUUAAGAAAAGGUGAAAGCACUCAGAGAAGAGAGCCAAAAUGUCUGCAAGGAAAAAAAAGGAAAGUCAGAAAAGAAGCCAACUCUAUUUCAACCAAGAAGUGGUCAGAAGAGACCCCCAGAGAAGGCUCUAAAUGAAGUUGAACUCUCCACAGAGUUUCCUGAAAAGUUGUGAAUGAAAACAAAACUCUUCCAGCCAACAACCAAUGGACUCGCUAACCAGCCCCAAACAGAACCCAGAUGUGUGGAGAUGCCCCUCUUUCCCCACAGAUGAAUUUGAUGAAAGAAAGGCACCAGAAGAAUCUCCACAGAGAUCAUGGGUCUGGGACACCGGGGUGGCUCAGUCUGUUGGGUGUCUGCCUUCGGCUCAGGUCAUGAUCUCAGGGUCCAGGGAUGGAGCUCUGCAUUGGAUUCCCUGCUCAACACAGAGCCAGCUCCUCCUUCUCCCUCCUCUGCAGCUCCCCCUGCUUGUGCUCUCUCUUUCUCCCUCUCUGUCAAAUAAAUAAAUAAAAUCUUAUUUUAUUUAUAAAAUAAAAUAAAAUAAAGAAGAAAGAAAUCA